rnacentral:misc_RNA from 1 species
UAUUAAAAAGAAAAAAAAAACAUUGUUUGCACUAUAUCCAUAUGUAAUAUAAGAGAAAUUAAAAAGAGUGCAUACCUGUAUUUCCAACUUAAGUAUAAGAUACAAGUGACAAUGUGAGACUGUAAAAUUGAAAUAUACAACAUAAGUAAUAACACAAAUAAUAAUAAGAAAUGUUAGAAAAAGAAAUAAUUCAUACCUGCAUUUUCAACUUAUGUAUAAAA